rnacentral:rRNA from 1 species
AACGAACGCUGGCGGCAUGCCUAACACAUGCAAGUCGAACGAGACCUUCGGGUCUAGUGGCGCACGGGUGCGUAACACGGGGGAACCUGCCCUUAGGUUCGGAAUAACUGCCCGUAAGGGGUGCUAAUACCGGAUAAUGUCUUCGGACCAAAGAGUUAUUGCCUUUGGAUGGGCCCGCGUUGGAUUAGCUAGUUGGUAGUGUAAAAGCCUACCAAGGCGACGAUGCAUAGCUGGUCUGAGAGGAGGAUCAGUCACACUGGGACUGAGACACGGCCCAGACUCGUACGCAGGGCAGCAGUAGGGUAUAUUAGACGCGGGGCGAUAAUCUAGUACCGCCAUGCCGGGUGAGUGAGGCAGGCCUUAGUGUUGUAAAGCUCCUUUACCCGAGAUGAGAAUGACGGUACCGGGAGAAUAAGCUCCGGCUAACUCCGUG